CUGAAGCCGAGUUUUUUUAUCAUGGGCCAUCCUUCAUCUUACCUAACGUGGCUUGCAGUUGCAGCAACUGUGAUGACUACAGAGACCUCCAUAUACGCAGCGACUCAGCUCUCUUAACAGAGAAACAAUGGUCAUGUCCGAAUCCACAACGUGGGAAGAUAUAUGACAGAGAGCAGAUGGAGAAUAGGCUUGUCCAGAUCGUGAGACAGAGUGAGAAAAUGUACCAGAUUCAGGAUCUAUUGUGCAUUAGGUGCAAUCAGGUGAAAGCAGCUCAUCUGACGGAGCAGUGUGAGUGUGCUGGAUCCUUUAGAUGCAAAGAGAGUGGUUCGGAUUUCCUCAAGAGGAUGGAGGUUUUCUUGGAUAUUAUUAGUUGAGUUCAAGGUCAACGAAGAAAAAAGAAGCUCGAAAUGGAAAAUGAUUCUUGUUAUUAGAUCUUUCUGCUACAAGUUGCUUUAUAUAACAACGGUCAUCCGGUUUACAAUAAACCAAAAUCUAAUAAACUUUAUAACCGGUUUAUAUCAACCCGAACUGAAUCAUGUAUGUUAAUAUCUCCCUCAAGAUGACGAGUAUAAAGAAGGUAGAGACAUCUUGCCAAUCAAAGAAUGAAAUAAACCAGGAAACAAUGGCUUCGUGAAGACGUCAGCCAGCUGAUUCUCACUGCGAACAUGCAAAGCCUUGAUUAAGCCACUCACAAUGCAACUUUCUUACUUAGUUUCAUCGAUUUUAAUCAUGCAUGCAUGUAUUUCAGAUUAUAAUUGUUUAAUUAUAGCUUUGAGUAAUAUAUGUUUAUGUACAUAACUUGUAAACUUGAUGGUCUUUGAAAACUGAAAAGAAUUCAUAUUCUCUGAAAAUGUUUGAGCUUGGUCUUAGACUUUGAUGUUUCAAAUAAACACUGUAGCCUCGGUUCUAGUUAAAUGCAAACAUAAUGGAAAAUCAUAAGAAACAAAACACAUAAUCAAUAAAACAUAAAGAAAUGUUAUGAUUCUUACAUACUUCCAAAUAUGCUUAUAAUCGAUCAAAAGCAUUCUAUAUAU